GUGCAGCAGGCGCGAAAACUUUACAAUGCUGGCAACAGCGAUAAGGGGACCUCGAGUGCCAGGAUACAAUCUUGGCUGUCGUAAUGNCUAAAAAGCAUUGCAUAGCAAGGGCCGGGCAAGACCGGUGCCAGCCGCCGCGGUAACACCGGCGGCUCGAGUGGUAACCGCUAUUAUUGGGUCUAAAGGGUCUGUAGCCGGCCGGAUAAGUCUUUUGGGAAAUCUGGCAGCUUAACUGUCAGGCUUUCAGAAGAUACUGUUCGGCUCAAGGCCGGGAGAGGUGAGAGGUACUUCAGGGGUAGGG
rnacentral:rRNA from 1 species